rnacentral:lncRNA from 1 species
UUCACUGAGAGAGGCUCUUAAAGAAUUCUCUGUUAAUAUUUGCUUUGUCAUUUCAGAAAGCCUUUAGCUAGGCCUGAUCAGACAGUUAUUUCUGGCUGGGUACAAAUUCAACUCCCAGCCAGUCCACCAUGCACACAUAUUUUUUAAAUAGACCUUAUUUUUUAUUUAUUUUCUUUUGUAACUUUUAUUUUAGGUUCGGGGCACAUGUGCAGGUUUGUUACACAGGUACAUUGUGUGUCACAGGGGUAUGGGG